AUCCAGAUGACGAGUUCCAAAUGGGACGAAACAUUCCUUGUCCUAGAU
rnacentral:hammerhead_ribozyme from 1 species